rnacentral:rRNA from 1 species
AUGGCCUCUUCUUCUAUUUCUUCAGUGUUUCUGCUGCAUCUUCCUGACACUGGUCCUCAACUAGCUUAUUUUGCUCUUCUUUCUGAAGAUCCAUGGCCUGCUUUUCCAAUUGUUGAGUGGACACAUAACGCGGGACACUGCAACUACAGAAAGGCAUGGGACACGCACCGAUUUAAGUCCAUGUCAGGGGCAUCACCUGUCUCACGUUCGCAGGAGGAAGAAGCUCUGAGUUCGCCGGAGGUACACAAACAUCCGUCGAGCACUCCAAUGUCGCCUACGGCGUCUGCACCAGAGGUGCCAAAGGCGUCUCAGGUGGAGGCGAAGGAGGUUCUUCUAAUUCCUAAGGCACCAGACUGGACAUUCCUAUGUUGA